rnacentral:rRNA from 1 species
AGGAUAAACGCUGGCGGCGUGCCUAACACAUGCAAGUCGAACGUCCUACGCAAGUAGGGAGUGGCGGACGGGUGAGUAACACGUGGGCAAUCUACCUUUCGGUGAGGAAUACCGGCGAGAAAUCGCCGACAAUACCGCAUACGCUUCGCAAGAAGCAAAGUCGCAAGACGCCGGAGGAGGAGCCUGCGCCCGAUUAGCUGGUUGGUGGAGUAAUGGUCUACCAAGGCGACGAUCGGUAGCUGGUCUGAGAGGAUGAUCAGCCACACUGGGAUUGAGACACGGCCCAGACUCCUACGGGAGGCAGCAGUGGGGAAUCUUGCACAAUGGGCGCGAGCCUGAUGCAGCAACGCCGCGUGAGGGACGAAGGCUUUCUGAGUUGUAAACCUCUUUCAGCAGGGACGAUUGUGACGGUACCUGCAGAAGAAGCCCGGCAACUACGUGCCAGCAGCCGCGGU